GAUGAAGAACGUAGCGAAAUGCGAUAAGUAGUGGGAAUUGCAGAAUUCAGUGAAUCAUCGAAUCUUUGAACGCACAUUGCGCCUCUUGGUAUUCCAUGGGGCAUGCCUGUUCGAGCGUCAUUUGUACCUUCAAGCUCUGCUUGGUGUUGGGUGUUUGUCUCGCCUCUGCGUGUAGACUCGCCUCAAAACAAUUGGCAGCCGGCGUAUUGAUUUCGGAGCGCAGUACAUCUCGCGCUUUGCACUCAUAACGACGACGUCCAAAAGUACAUUUUUACACUCUUGACCUCGGAUCAGGUAGGGAUACCCGCUGAACUUAAGCAUAUCAAUAAGCGGAGAA
rnacentral:misc_RNA from 1 species